rnacentral:rRNA from 1 species
UACAGGGGGUGCAAACGUUGCUCGGAAUCAUUGGGCGUAAAGCGCACGUAGGCGGUCUGUUAUGUCGGAUGUGAAAGCCCUUGGCUUAACUGAGGAAGUGCAUCCGAAACUGGCAGGCUAGAGUACUAAAGAGGGUCGCGGAAUUCCCGGUGUAGAGGUGAAAUUCGUAGAUAUCUGGAGGAACACCGGUGGCGAAGGCGACAUCCUGGACCGGUAUUGACGCUGAGGCGCGAAAGCCAGGGGAGCAAACGGG